GUGCAGCAGGCCACUAUUUGAAUGUGUGUUGCUCCUUGUGGCAGGUAUACUGUUCCAAUGCCCUGGGAUCUCUGUAGUGGUCGGUACUGUAUUGAUUAUAAAUGGUGAAGUCCUAGUAUCUUGCUAGAGUGAGCUGGCCAGGAUGGUGGAGCUCUACCACCAUUUCACAGGUUAUAGACAGGGGCCACCAGGUUUCAGGAAAGCAGCAAUGACCCCUCAGUAAUAGUUGGAAAGUGUGAUAUGACACUGAGCUUCACUGUGUUGGUGAAGAAGAGGUGAGGAAAAUAAAAGCUGCAGUUUGCCUCCACCUCUGAAGAAGCACAAUACACCUUUCUGGGUUACCAAUGGGAUACUUCCCAACAGCUUUGUCAUCACAUACAAUAUUCUCAAACAAGAUCUUAAUGGCAUCUACUUUCUCCAGGAACACAGCCCCUGACCUGUGUGUGUUUGCGUAGAGAAGGCAUGCUAUGUACCCCCUAGGAUAUCAAGAUUCCUGUAGCAGAUUGAGCUCUGGCAGUUGAUCUCAGUGGCUUGAUAGAGUGUCAUUAUAAAAACGCACCUGGAAGAU
rnacentral:lncRNA from 1 species